AUUGAACGCUGGCGGCAGGCUUAACACAUGCAAGUCGAGCGGGGAAGGGUAGCUUGCUACCUAACCUAGCGGCGGACGGGUGAGUAAUGCUUAGGAAUCUGCCAUUUAGUGGGGGACAACAUUCCGAAAGGAAUGCUAAUACCGCAUACGUCCUACGGGAGAAAGCAGGGGAUCUUCGGACCUUGCGCUAAUAGAUGAGCCUAAGUCGGAUUAGCUAGUUGGUGGGGUAAAGGCCUACCAAGGCGACGAUCUGUAGCGGGUCUGAGAGGAUGAUCCGCCCGACUGGGCCUGGAACACGGCCCGGACUCCAACGGGAGGCAGCAGUGGGGAAUAUUGGACAAUGGGGGGAACCCUGAUCCAGCCAUGCCGCGUGUGUGAAGAAGGCCUUAUGGUUGUAAAGCACUUUAAGCGAGGAGGAGGCUCUUUUGGUUAAUACCCAAGAUGAGUGGACGUUACUCGCAGAAUAAGCACCGGCUAACUCUGUGCCAGCCGCCGCCGUAA
rnacentral:rRNA from 1 species